AUAGCUGGAAUACAGAGUCAGCCUGCGGAUCUGUGGACAGCUUGUGGCAGGAUUGCUCAAAGGGGUUUUAUUCACGCUUUAAAAAGGAACGGGAUUAUGUUAUUUGCAGAGAAUCCAGGCUGAGUGGGAAGACAGGAGGAUUAUGGGACACUUCAGUCUGGUUGAAGCCUGUUAUCAGCUGAAGGUCACGAGCCCUAGCAGGAUGAAGGAGAACAUUUCCGGGAAGGUUGCCAGCACCGAGGCAAAGACCCUUUCAUACAAAUAUAUUUUUUUGUUAAAACAAUAACGAACCCCGCUAAAGGCCCGAGCCUGUGUGACCUAUACAGCUUCCCUUCUUUCGUGAAAAAUUUCUAGGCUCCUUACAAGACUGUUAAGUUUGCUCACAAUGAAGCUUAUCCCAACGUCCACUGUCUCGGUGAAAUAAAAGUUCUGCUUCUGCAUUUGCAAUCCUCUCAGUUCUACUCAGUGAUUUCACGGAACACUCCAGAAGAACAGAACCAAACAAAACAACAAUAAACCAAAACCAAAACCUGAAGAUCAAAAGAAAAGAAA
rnacentral:lncRNA from 1 species